UUUUUUGUUUUUUUGGUUUUUUUUUUUUUUUGUCUUUUCAGGGCUGAACCAGCAGCAUAUGGAGGUUCCCAGUCUAGGGGUCCAAUCGGAGCUGUAGCCACUGGCCUAUGCCACGGCCACAGCAACUCGGGAUCCGAGCCUUGUCUGCAACCUACACUGCAGCUCAUGGCAACGCCAGAUCCUUAAUCCACUGAGCGAGGCCAGGGAUCAAACCUGCGUCCUCAUGAAUGCUAGUCAGACUGGUUUCUGCUGAGCCAUAACGGGAACUCCCUCAUAGCAUUUUCUAAUAAGCAAGGAACUGUAGGAAUUCAUAACACAGUACCUGUGACCUGCAAGUUAAGAAGCAAAAAGCAUUAUCUUGUAGGUAAAAAUGUGAUGACAUCAUCUAUGGUGAUGGUUUGUUUCAACCUUGUCACUGGCCCACUCCUAACCUCAGGCCUCUAGCUCCUAUUUUUCCCACAGAGUCUUUUUUUUUUUUUUCUUUUUCUGUUUUUCUCAAGGCCACAUCCAUGACAUAUGGAAAUUCCCAGGCUAGGGGUCCCCUACGCCACACCCACAGCAAAUUGGGACCUGAGCUGCGUCUUCGGUCUACACCACAGCUCACAGCAACGCCAGAUCCUUAACCCACAGACAAAAGCCAAGGAUUGAGCCAGCAUCCUCAUGGAUCUUAACCUGUAUCCUUGGGUUCUUAACCUGCUGAGCCACAAGGGAACUCCUAAUCUUAGGUUUUUGAAUCCAAAUGAACCUCCCACAUUUGGGGAAAGGAUACUGUGUACACACCACACUGGGAAAUCCACUGCCCUGAGAUAUCUCCAGUUCAGACCUCUCUCCUAAACCCCAUCCUAACCACCUCCCAGUAGCCCCACUUGACUCUCCAUCAAAGGUGGAAAACUUCCAUAUGUCCACACCAACCCCUGCCCAGUCCUACCGGCCCUGCUCCACCCACAGCAGCUUUCCCACUGAUUGUCAAAAGCAACACCAUUCACCUGCCUGUACCUCCCGCAAUCACCCUCCCCUCACUCCUCACCGCCCACAUGGGAACCACCAAGAAAUCCCGAGGCUCCAGGUUCAAAAUCCACCCAGAGUCCUCCCCCUGCUCCCAACUGGAAACAAGCCUCAGGAGAGCCAGUGCGAGGGUGUCCCUGCUCCCUCCUUGCCUGGCCACCAUCAGUCUCAACUCAGCAGCCAGAGUGGUCCUCUUAAAAUGAAAAGCAGCAAGUUAGAGCCUCUGCUCAAUGCCCUGCAAUGAUCCCCUGGUGGCUACUUGCAAAGAGGCAAGUCCUUUGACAGCCUCUGCUCCAGCCCCUGGCCUCCCCUUUCCUCCUACCCUGCUCCAACUCUCCAGGCUCUACGCACUGGCUGUUCCCUCUACCUGGAGGGCCCAGGGCCGACCCCUGCCCCCUUUAAGUCUGCUCAAAGGGCACAAUCCAAAGAAGGGAAGAGUCUGACCUGAUGAUUCCUUAAAAUCUAGGAGUUUAAGAAACAGAUCAUGGCCAGAGAGAACAGGCUAAUGGUUGCCAAGGGGGAGUGGGGACGGAGUGGGAUGGACGUGGAGUUUGGGGUCGGUAGAUGCAAACUAUUACAUUUGGAGUGGAUAAGCAAUGAGGUCCUACUGUACAGUGGAGGGAACUACCCAACCUCUUGGGCUAGAAUAUGAUGGAAGAUAGUAUGGGAAAAAGAAUGUGUGGGUCACUAUGCUGAGCAGAAAUUGACACGACACUGUAAAUCAUCAAUAGUCUAAUAAUAUAUAUAUAUAAUCAAAUCAAAUCUAGGAGUGUAGGAUUAACAUACACACACUGCAAUAUACAAAAUGAAUAACCAACAAGGACCUACAGUAAAGCACAGGGAACUAUACUCAACAUUUUGUAAUGACAUAUCAGGGGAAAGAAUCCGACAACUGUCUAUAUAUAUAUAUAUUUAUACAUUCAUUGCUUUUUGCUUUUUUAGGGCCAUACCAGCAGCAUAUGGAAGUUCUCAGGCUAGGGGUCAUAUCGGAGCUGCAGCUGCUGGCCUACAUCACAGCCACAGCAACACGGGAUCGGAGCUGCAUCUGGGAACUAUACUGCAGCUUGCAGCAACCCAUCAAGCGAGGCCCUAGAAAAGGAAAAAAGACAAAAAAAAAAAAAAUGGCAUUGAUAAACUCCCUGAGCUGGAACAUCACACACCUGGAGCAGUGCAAGAAGAGGCGGAGGGAGAAAGGGCCACCCCAAGAUGCUGCUCUGUCUUAUGGGUGAGGGGAGAUGGGACAGAAGUUUCUGGGAAGAAAUCUUUGCCUUGGUGCAGGCAGCCCAAGGCGAUGGAGGGAAGAGGCCUCACAAUCAAGGGCCUUGAUCAGAAGGGCUCUGGGAAACUGAGAAAAGGCACAGUUUGCUGAAAGAGGAGAAAAGGGCCCGGAGAGCUGGUGCAAAGCUCCUGGGGAGCUGGUGACCGAGGAGGCAGUUUCUGAACACCCAGAGUGAUCCACAAAGCAUAUGCCCAAAUCCCCUCAGGUCCAAGCCACCAUCAGGUACCUUACAGGGGUCACAGAGAAUGGCUGUCUCUCCAGUGAGGAGAUGGGGUAGAAAGAAGAGAGCCCUUCCAGUCCAGGUGGGAAAUGCUGAGGGGCUGAAGAAGGUGUUUGCAGUCAAGAUGCAGUUUAGGGCACAAGAAAUUAAGAUCCCCUUGAGGAACCUCAGCCCAAGGUGAUGCAGCCAAGAAAGGCCUGGGUGACCAGAGAGGGAUAACCACAGCAGAGGGAGCCAUCAUGGUUCUAGGCUGCAAACAACAGAAAACCACUGAGUCAGAAUCCUAACCAGUGCUCACAGAACUGACAGGGAGAACCUGGCUGGAAAAGUGGGCAAGAACCAAAGGAAGUAUGUGGCCAGAACCAAAGGAAGUAUGUGCCAAGGCCUGCACAGGAGCAGUUAGGGCAGCCGAGCACCAACACCUGAGUUAGCGCUCACCUGUGCCCUGGCCAGAGGCUCACUGGUUAAGCUCCAGUGGGACCCAUGCCCAGGGCCCCAGCCUCUCACUGUUAUUUAACUACUUUGGUAAAUGAGACGUAAAGUAUAAACCUCUUGGAAGUAUCUGUAUUCAGAAAGAAGAGGCAUUACUACUCACAACAGUCAUAGAAACAACCUAAAUGACUAUCAAUAGAGGAACAAAGAAGAUGUGAGAGUUCCUGCCGUGGCACAGCAGAAACAAAUCCAACGGGGAACCAUGAGGUUGCAGGUUCGAUCCCUGGCCUCGACCAGUGGGGUGAAGAUCCAGCAUUGCCAUGAGCUGUGGUGUAGACUGCAGACAAGGCUCAGAUCUGGUAUUGCUGCAGCUGUGGCAUAGGCUGGCAGCUGUAGCUCCAAUUAGACCCCUAGCCUAGGAAACUCCAUAUGCCACAGUACAGCCCUAAAAAAAAAAAAAAAGAUGUGAUACAUAUAUGCAAUGGAGUAUUACUCGGCCUUAAAAAAGAACAAAAUAAUGCCAUUUGCAGCAAUGUGGGUAGACCUAGAAUAAGCAAGUCAGAGAAAGACAAAUACAAUAUAAUAUCAUUUAUAUAUGGAAGCUAAAAUAUUACACAAAUGAGAGUUCCUAUUGUGGCUUAGUAGAUUAAGAACACCACAUGGUAUCUGUGAGGAUGUAGGUUCAAUCCCUAGACUUGCAUAGUAGGUUAAGGAUCCAGCAUUGCCACCAGCAACAUAGGUUGCAGAUGUGGCUCGGAUCCGGUGUUGGUGUUGCUGUGGCUGUGGCGCAAGCCUGCAGCUGUGGCUCCAAUUUGACCCCUAGCCUGGGAACUUUCAUUACGCUGCAAGCAUGGCCACAAAAAAAUUAAAUAUGACACAAAUGAAUUUAUUUUAAAAACAAACGGACUCACGCACAUAGAGAACAGACUUGUGGUUGCCAAGAAGUGGGGGUGGGAGAGGGUUGGAGUGAGAGUUUGGGAUGAGCAGAUGCAAAUUAUUAUAUACAGAAUGGAUAAACAACAAGGUCCUACAGUAGAGCACAGGGAACUAUCAUCAAUAUCCUGUGAUAAACUAUCAUGGAAAAGAAUAUGAAAAGAAUAUACAAAUAUAAUAUGUGUGUAUAAAUGAAUCACUUUGCUGUAUAGCAGAAAUUAACACAAUAUUGUACAUCAACUGUAAUUCAAUAAAACACAUUAAAAAGAAAAGAAGAGGCAUUAACUCUGGCAGAACUGCCAGUCCUGUGUGUGUGUGGACUGUGUGUGUGCAUACGUGCAGGGUGGGAGGUAGGGAGAGAAAUCUGUGUUUGACCUUCCUGGGUGCUUCUCCAAGCUAAAGAGCACCUACCACUGUCCCUGCGCAUGAAACCUCAACUCAGGGUGGGCUGAUCCAGCCCGCCCAUCCCUUGUUCCCUCCAAGCAUUUUACCCACCUGCCCACCUCCAUCCUGCCCAUCUUCAUGGGCUCAGCUCUGCCCCAGUCUAUCUGGCCCCACAGAGCUCUCUCACGGCUAAAUUCCUACCACGCUCAUGGCCAAGAGGCCCAGGAGAGCCUGAGAGCACUCAUCUAUGACGAAAUCAUCUAUUUCAGUAACUUAUCUACGAUGAAAACACAGACUUUAGACAAGACCAAAAUCAAAAAUGCAGAAAUUAUCUUUCUUGCCUUCCUCUACCUUAGCUUAGAAAAUGUACUCAACAAAUGCUAAAUAGAUAAAACUACAAAAGUAGAGAAAUAGCGAAAGAAAAAAAAACCAGAAGUGAGAAAAAAACAGAGGAAAAGCACCUUUUGUGUAAUUCUUUAAGAGCUUCUUAGGCAAUAACUCCUCUGUUAACAAGGAGGUACUUGCUGCUUUUGCUUUUGUAUAAAUAAAUGUUUGUGUCGUGUUCAGAAACCUGUCUGGAGGCCUGUUUGGCACUUAUUUGAUUCUGCUUUAUACUAUUAAGCAGUCUUGUCUGUGCAUGUGUACUUUAAACAAGACUGAAAACCUUAUAAAAGUAGAGAUUCUGGAGUUCCCAAUGUGGCUCAGCGGAAACAAACCCUACUAGUAUUCAUGAGGUUGUGGGUUCAAUCCCUGGCCUUGCUUAGUGGAUUAAGGGCAUUACCACAAACUGCAGUUAGGUCGCAGAUGCUGCUCAGAUCCAGGAUCCAGUGUUUCUGUGACUGUGCUGUAGGCCACAGCUGCAGCUCCAUCAACCCUAGCCUAGAAACUUCCAUACGCCGUAGAUGUGGCCGUUUAAAAAAAAAACAAAACACUAAUUUAUCAGGGGGGUAAAUGAGACUCAGAGUCUGCAUAAACAAGGGACUCAGGUAGUUUUCAGAUUCCUUUUGCAUCGUCUGUAACGGGCACAUGAAACAAAUAAUCAAAACAGAAGAGGCCAAGACAUGCCUUGUGGAGAGACUGCCUGGGGUCCUGGUUGAAUAUUUAGCAUGGUCUGCUGCUCUAAGCCUCAUGGACAAUCUCUUUCAGUCAAGAUGGAGUCACUGGCCCUUCUUCUGAAUUCAGGAAUUUCAUGGCACAGGUGAUCUUCCUUUCCAAAUGUUCUAUAUUUUCAAGGUUUUACAUGCCCUUUUUUAAAAUACAUGAACAGGGAGUUCCCAUCGUGGCGCAGCAGAAACGAAUCCAACUAGGAACCAUGAGGUUGUAGGUUCGAUCCCUGGCCCUGCUAGGGAUCCCUAGCAGGGGAGUAGGUUCGAUCCCUAGCCUGGGAACCUCCAUAGGCCGCAGGUGCAGCCCUAAAAAAAGACAGAGACAAAAAAAUAAAUAAAUAAACAAUGAAAUAAAAUACAUGAACAGUUGAAGUUUCACCACUGCUUGGGAAACCAGUUGGGAGUAAAAGAGACCUGGAGAAUCAGUCUCAAUUUUUAUGUUCAAAUACAAAAAUUUUAACGCAUACAUUUUAAUCAAGAAAUGGCAAAAGAAAGUCAACUGGAAAUUCAAAUCAUGACCCAACACAUUUAUCCAACACAUAAAUGUGCACCAACAAAAGCAAAACAACAGAAAGGCCUACAGGAUUGGGGCAUUUGCUGGCCAAGAGAGUACAGAAUACAAGGCUUUGGUUCAUCCCCCUCCAGGUCUGCAGCCCAACUAAAGAUUACUAACAUCGCUGGGCAUAUAGAUACAUGGACUAUUACCAUACUUGGUUAAAAAAAUAAAUUCCCAGAAGGAGUAUAAUGAAAUGUUUUACUGAAGCCCACGUCCUCCCUGCCAAAAACAAAAAAUUAGAAAAUUAAAGUUGCUUUAACUGUACUAAAAAUGUUAUUUUCCUUUUAUCUUUUGUGAUCUCUUAUAUCAGAGGGUGGUGUCUUUCAGACCCCUGAGAAACAGAAAUAAGUAUUAAGUGGAAAUGUUUGUAAAUAUACCAGAGACCCAGAGGCCAGACUUCCAAAACAUAAUUCUUUCUUAUUUAACCUGAUUUAAAGGACGGAAUAGAUGUCAACAGUCACCCAACAAGAGAAAAUCAGUUCUGUCAUCUGGGGUUCAUUUCCUUAUUAAAAAUUAAUACAUGAGAGUGAAAACCAAACAGGAUAGAUUCCCCCUGGAUCCCUUAACUCAAAAAGCUCAGCCUCUUCCCCAUUUAACUCAAAGCCUGUACCAUUUUUUAGGGUUUAGUGCUGAUCAAAAAGGGCAGCCUGGCAGCUCGAAAGAAUUCCACUCUCUAUUUAUUUAUCUACCUAAGGGGCCCAGUUUGGAAUACUUGAAUCAUACCAGUUGGAAUAUGAGCCACCCAGAAAUUGAGAAAGAAAAUACAGAGUAAAGCUAAAAUCAAUCCAAUUUCAAGAAGGUCAUUAGUCAACCCCAAUUUUAGGAAAGUUUUGAACAAACAGGCUGGACUAAAAUAGAAUAAAAUUAAAGGGCAAGAAAACAGCUUUCACUUGGGACGCUACCCCCAGAGCAGAGUGCAAGAUAGACCUUCAAUCCCAACUCCUUGGGGGGGGGGGCGGUGGUAAGACUUCUGAUUCAAUGUAAUUUAGGAGAAAGGUUUUCUAGAACACACCCCAGAGAUUUAAAGGGGGCAUGAAACACUGCCCUCUAGUGGCUAGGUCACAGAAGACAAGUUCCAACUGGGACAGAGAGCUCAGUCUGUCACAAUCUGUCCAAGUGGUGAAAUCUUGAGUAACCUAAGAAUCUUUAUUUUUUUUCUGAAGCAGGUUACAGAUGGUAGAACAACUAGUACAAAAGUUAAACUACUCCCAAUACCACCAAUUGGGCUAGAAAAAUAAAAUGGCAAUGUUUAUUCCCUUGCCAAAGGCAAAGAUGCUCAAGAAAAUGAGAAGUGAAAACAAUGUACUUCUUCAUUUGGGGAGAGGCUGUAAAAAAAUCCCUUCCCAUAUGAGUUCCCAUUGUGGCCCAGCAGGUUAAGAACCUGACUAGCAUCCAUGAGGAUGCAGGGUCAAUCCCUGGCUUCACUCAGUAGUUAAGGACCUGGUAUUGCUGCAAGCUGCGACAUUGAUCCCAGAUGCGGCUCAGAUCCAGUGUUGUGGCUGUGGUGUAGCCCUACAACUGCAACUCCUACUCAACCUCUAGCCCAGGAACUUCCAUAUGCCACAAGUGUGGCCCUAUAAAAGAAAAAAAAAAUCCAUUCCUAAAGAAACCAUAAACUUGAAGUGUUCAUUUCUGGUUUAAAAAAAAAAAAAAAAA
rnacentral:lncRNA from 1 species